rnacentral:rRNA from 1 species
CCUACGUGCGGCAGCAGUGGGGAAUAUUGCACAAUGGGGGAAACCCUGAUGCAGCGACGCCGCGUGAGUGAAGAAGGAUGUCGGGACGUAAAGCUCUAUCAGCAGGGAAGAAAAUGACGGUACCUGACUAAGACGCCCCGGCCAACGACGUGCCAGCAGCCGCGGUAAUACGUAGGGGGCAAGCGUUACCCGGAUUUACUGGGGGUAAAGGGAGCGUAGACGGCAGCACAAGUCUGGAGUGAAAUCCCGGGGCUUAACCCCGGAACUGCUUUGGAAACUGUGCGGCUGGAGUGCAGGAGAGGUAAGCGGAAUUCCUAGUGUAGCGGUGAAAUGCGUAGAUAUUAGGAGGAACACCAGUGGCGAAGGCGGCUUACUGGACUGUAACUGACGUUGAGGCUCGAAAGCGUGGGGAGCAAACAGGAUUAGCUACCCGUGUAGUC